rnacentral:rRNA from 1 species
GACGAACGCUGGCGGCGUGCCUAAUACAUGCAAGUCGAACGCGAGCACUUGUGCUCGAGUGGCGAACGGGUGAGUAAUACAUAAGUAACCUGCCCUAGACAGGGGGAUAACAGUUAGAAAUGACUGCUAAUACCGCAUAAGACCACAGCACCGCAUGGUGCAGGGGUAAAAACUCCGGUGGUAUGAGAUGGACCCGCGUCUGAUUAGGUAGUUGGUGGGGUAACGGCCUACCAAGCCGACGAUCAGUAGCCGACCUGAGAGGGUGACCGGCCACAUUGGGACUGAGACACGGCUCAA